UCCCCCCCCCACUAGAAGCUUCAGCCACUUGGAACGAUUUCCCAUUGUUGAUCUUCUUUUUUCUAAAGCCUAAAUGCUUCUCUAUCUCAGUCCGAUACUGACACUGAUCUGGUUGAUAAGCCUAAUUAAGAAGAAGAAAAUUUUGGGUAAAACGUCACAUUGCUUAGUUUGGAGUUCUUUAUCUUCUUUAGUUCUGUUCCAAUGUUCCUUUCUUCAAUUUCAUCGCCCCUCUUCUGCUCUUUCAUGGCUCUCUCACGGUAAACUAUUACUGAUUUUGUUUAUCUGUAAUGCUAAGUUAGAUGGUGAAAAAUAGAUAGUAUUAAACUGGAAACAGUUGUGUCGAAGAAUCUUGUAGCAUUAUACUUGGGUACUAUAAGCUGGGUGGAUCCAUGACAUUUAGUGCCGUAAAAUUAUCUCCAUGUAGUAGUUCUUGUAAAGAUCUGCUUGCAAUCUGAACAGGCUAAGAAGCAGAACUGCUAGUUCUCAUUUGGUAGUGCGAGUUCAGCUUCUAGCAAUUAAAAAUUCAGAGGAAUACAUAUAAAUUUUAUUGUUCUUACAUAUAAAUUUUUAUUGUUCUUACCGGAGGUUGCUUCUGGAUAUUGCCAAUUGGUAUGAUCUCUUCCUGGAAAAGGAACACUCAUAAGAGAGCCUAUUGGAGUUGUACUCCUUGCCGUGUAUACUGCUCAUGAGUUGUGUUCAUUAACAGUAUCUUGUAUACUGCUCAUGAGUUGUAUUCAUUGUUAAUCCUGUCGCGUAAAGAUAGAAAGUAUAUGUUGUUACUUUGAUGGUAAUAAUUUUAUAUAUGUAUUUAUAAUUGUAUACCAUCAAAAAGUGAUAUUCUAAUUGUCUAACAUGUUUCAGAUAGAAGCAAUGAGUCUCUCAUGACAGGAGUACUCAGUUCGCUUAAGACAUUAGCCGCCUCCGAGGAUGAUGCAUUAGCGGAGUUGGUAAUAAUUGAGCUGGCAACAAGAUGAUGUCUGUUUGAUUCAGCUUUGUUUUCUCCUACUCGCGCUAAGAGAACCCUUUUAUUAGCUUGCAUCUUUCUAUAUAGGCAGAAUACAUAGUUUACCCCCAGAACUAUGGACCAAAUCCCUGUGACACACCUUUUGGGAACAAAAAUUACCUUACACACUCAACAUUUCCAAAGUGUAUCUAAUACACACUACUUUUACACUCGUGAUUUACACGCAC
rnacentral:lncRNA from 1 species